rnacentral:misc_RNA from 1 species
GAGUUCAUGCCCUCACGGGUAGAUCUCCCACCCUCUGUUUAUUACACGCUGUUGCUUUGGCGGACCGCCGCAAGUUGGCUUCGGCCGAUGCGUGGCUACCGGCUUCGGCUGGUACGCGUCCGCCAGAGGACCCAACCAACCUGAAUUAUUAGUGUCGUCUGAGUAAAAAUUUAAUAUUUAAAACUUUCAACAACGGAUCUCUUGGCUCU